rnacentral:rRNA from 1 species
CCGGGCGCACGGGUGAGUAACGCGUAUGCAACUUACCUAUCAGAGGGGGAUAACCCGGCGAAAGUCGGACUAAUACCGCAUGAAGCAGGGAUCCCGCAUGGGAAUAUUUGCUAAAGAUUCAUCGCUGAUAGAUAGGCAUGCGUUCCAUUAGGCAGUUGGCGGGGUAACGGCCCACCAAACCGACGAUGGAUAGGGGUUCUGAGAGGAAGGUCCCCCACAUUGGUACUGAGACACGGACCAA